AGGCUCGAGUUUAUGUUUUGAUGAGCCUGUGUUGUUAAAUAUUUUGAACUCGUGAAUGAAAGAUAGAGACCCUUCAAGACAGAGCUUUGGAAGUAGUUCUCCAAAUUUACAGCAAAGAAUUAAUCCGGAGUGGUCCAAGACUUCAGAUCGAUUGCCAUGUGUUGCAAGUACACCCUGAGCCAGAAUUGGAAGUGGAAUAGAUCUAUACCCUCGAGAAGGCUACACAUCACCAUCAUCCAUGCGGCCUGGUCAGCGAAGAAAUUCAUGGAGCAGGUUUUCAUCAGGGGAUGAUGGCUGGUAUGGUGGGUUAGUUGUAUAGGAGAAAGUUGCUUGGAACUUGAAAGGCAUCCGCCCAUCUGCAUGCAGCUAUCUGAUGGUGAGAUGAGGUCUGAUGAUGUCACUGUUGAAUGGCCAUGCAAGUCGACUGACUUCCUCCAUGCACGAAAGGACCCAGUUUUACUAUGAGAAGGAGUAGGACGUGGAUUGUAGACUUCUGUCGACGAGUAUCCUGAACAUACCGUGGUAGAAAGUCGUCCCGAUGUCGUCCAUCAUGGUGUGGAGGUGAUCAAGAUCAAGUUGAUCUUCCGCUUGCCUGAGGAACCCUGGGGAGGAAGCGGUGAAGGGAGUGGGGGUACUGGCAUUUAAGGUGGACAACAACAUGCUCUUCGAGAAAAGCGUGACAAAGUAUUCGUGUUUCCUGUCCGAGCGAUGUAGGAGCGUAAAGUAAAAAGGGUAUUAAAAUUUCCAAACUCAAGAAGUAAUCUCCUACUCUGGAUACGUGAAAAUGGUAAUAUAAAGGCUAGGGAAACAUUGAACAUACUUGUUUAGGGUAUGAGUCUCUUUGAGAAGGUAUCUGACAUGAAGAAUGUUUACUUUAGGGUCAAUUUUGAAAGUCCAUGGACGAGCAUCCAUCCAUCCAUGCACCCAUUUAUUCAUUCAUCUAUCCAGCCGUCCAUAUUAUUAUGCUCGCUUACAUGCAUUCAUUCAUCCAUCUAUCCAUCCACCUAUUCAUUCAUGUAUGCUCGCAUACAUGCAUGAAUCCAUCCAUUCAUUCAUUCUUUCAUUCACUCAUUGAUUCAUUCAUUGAUUUGUGUAUGACCACUAUAUGUGUUCAUUUAUUUAGUCAUCCAUCCAUUAAUUCAUAUACAAAUGUCAACUGAUAAUUAUAUAUAUAUAUUGUAAUUUUGUUAUGUUGUCUGGUAUUGAUUACUUCCUCUCUAAGUAACGAUAUAUUUCUGAUAUCUGCUCUUGAUGAAUUAGUACAUUCUAUACCGACCGCACAGAAACGUUGUUAGUCUAACAGAACGUUAACAGUAAGCCCAAUAACAUCUUCCGGAUUGUGAAGUCAAAACACAUAUUCUGCCACAUUGCCUGUUGUAACAGGGCCUCUGUUAGCGCUGAGAACGUUUCUGUGCGGUCAGUACUGGUAAUUAUCACUUGACAAACUUUGAAGUCUUCAAAAAUAAGUUUUACAGUUUUAGAAUUUGACAAGUAAAAAUCAUAAUGUUCCGUUGAAUGCUUUUAAUUGCUCCCAUCUCCCCGAAGAAUGAAAUACGGUAGGGCUAUUUUUGUAAGUGCACUUGGUAAAUCCGAACCAUUAGUUGCUGUGUAAAUGAAAUAUGGCAACAUUUUUAAAGAUUUGUUAUUUUGCCUUGAUGAUUUAUUAAUAAAUGAUGGUGUUACAACUAUUGGCGGUGAUCCCGGGGGAAGGGAACAUGCCCCCUUCCCCUUUGAUUUUAAAUUUUGCACAGCAUUUUAUUGGAGAGGGUUGUCUCGUUCACCCCCCUCCCCCCAUGGACAAAAAAAUCCCAUAAAAUCACUGCCAAUGGUUAAGCUCCUUUUUUGCUACUUGUA